rnacentral:rRNA from 1 species
UCCGUAGGUGAACCUGCGGAAGGAUCAUUACCUUUCAAUGCAGCAGAAUUGGGAUGGUUGAGUAUCUCGCCUUCCAAUUCUGCCUGUAUUCCACCCUUGUUUGUCAUACUAUUAUUUCCUCGGCAGGCUUGCCUGCCGAGUGAAACCAAUUAUAACCUAUUUAAUUUUCAAUCAGCGUCUGAAAAAAAUUAAUAAUUACAACUUUCAACAACGGAUCUCUUGGUUCUGGCAUCGAUGAAGAACGCAGCGAAAUGCGAUAAGUAGUGUGAAUUGCAGAAUUCAGUGAAUCAUCGAAUCUUUGAACGCACAUUGCGCCCCUUGGUAUUCCAUGGGGCAUGCCUGUUCGAGCGUCAUUUGUACCUUCAAGCUUUGCUUGGUGUUGGGUGUUUGUCCUGAGGGACUCGCCUUAAAGUAAUUGGCAGCCAGUGUUUGGUUUUGAAGCGCAGCACAAGUCGCGAUUCAAGGCUAUACACCAGCUUCCACAAGCCUUUUUCACUUUUGACCUCGGAUCAGGUAGGGAUACCCGCUGAACUUAAGCAUAUCAAAAUGACGGAGGAAGGUACGACUGCCAAGGGCACACAGGGGGGGGGGAUA